rnacentral:sRNA from 1 species
GCUGGGUGUGGUGGCGUAUGCCUGUAAUCCCACUGGCUUGGGAGGCUGAGGUAGGAGGAAGUUGAAUUCAAAGCCAGCCUCAGCAAGUUAGCAAGGCCCUAAGCAACUCAGUGAGACCCUGUCUCUA